AAUUCUUUUGCUGAAGCUAGUGUUAAUCAACGACAAGGAUUUUUUCGUGCUCAAGCCAAUGCAAUAGCUAGCAGCAGACCUCAAAAAAUCCCGUUUAAAAGACCUGCCAUUGAAAUGGAAACGAUACAAGGGCAGUCACAACCGAACAAGAAAAAGAAAAUGCCUGUCUCAACUGAUACAAGAUUAUCGAAACAAUCGGACAAAGGAGUAGUUUUAGGAGCUUCAAUGGCAAAAGCGCAUCCCCAAGCUAGUGCACAGCCUCAGUCAUCUGAAAGUGCUCUUCAAAAGCAUGUUGUUGUGAAGUCAAAGCCACCAUUGCAACUCCAGGACAGUUUGCAGCUUCAAGCAUUAAGAACUUAUCCUCGAAAGCACAUCGGUGUAAAGCCAAAGCCACCAUCGCACCCCCAGGCAAG